CCAAAGCCGGCUGCGAGGGCGGAGCGGCCCCAGCUAUGGAGCGUGCUCGGCUCCGACGAGGGUCUUGCACGCGGUGACUUUUUGCCUGAUCUGAGAACCAAGAGGUGGGCCAAGAGUGAGAUUUAGUGGAGCUAUUGAUGCUAUUUAUGGUGAGAGUUGGACCAUAAAGAAGGCUGAGCACUGAAGAAUUGAUGCUUUUGAACUGUGGUGAUGGAGAAGACUCUUGGAAGUCCCUUGGACAGCAAGGAGAUCAAACCAA